rnacentral:rRNA from 1 species
AGCGGCGCGAUUCCUAGUGAUUAGAGUUUGAUCAUGGCUCAGAACGUACGCUGGCGGCACGCCUAACACAUGCAAGUCGAACGAAGUAGCAAUACUUAGUGGCAGACGGGUGAGUAACAUGUAGGUAUCUACCCUUUGGCCUGGAAUAACACGAGGAAACUUGUGCUAAUACCGGAUAAGUCUUUACGGAGAAAGCUUUAUGCACCAUUGGAUGAGCCUGCACUUGAUUAGUUUGUUGGUGGGGUAAUGGCCUACCAAGACUUUGAUCAAUAGCUGAUUUGAGAGGAUGAUCAGCCACAUUGGGACUGAGACACGGCCCAAACUCCUACGGGAGGCAGCAGUGGGGAAUCUUGCACAAUGGAGGAAACUCUGAUGCAGCGAUGCCGCGUGAGUGAAGAAGGCCCUUGGGUUGUAAAGCUCUUUCGUCGGGGAAGAAAAUGACUGUACCCGAAUAAGAAGGUCCGGCUAACUUCGUGCCAGCAGCCGCGGUAAUACGAAGGGACCUAGCGUAGUUCGGAAUUACUGGGCUUAAAGAGUUCGUAGGUGGUUGAAAAAGUUGGUGGUGAAAUCCCAGAGCUUAACUCUGGAACUGCCAUCAAAACUUUUCAGCUAGAGUUUGGUAGAGGAAAGCAGAAUUUCUAGUGUAGAGGUGAAAUUCGUAGAUAUUAGAAAGAAUACCAAUUGCGAAGGCAGCUUUCUGGAUCAUUACUGACACUGAGGAACGAAAGCAUGGGUAGCGAAGAGGAUUAGAUACCCUCGUAGUCCAUGCCGUAAACGAUGUGUGUUAGACGUUGGAAAUUUAUUUUCAGUGUCGCAGCGAAAGCGAUAAACACACCGCCUGGGGAGUACGACCGCAAGGUUAAAACUCAAAUGAAUUGACGGGGACCCGCACAAGUAGUGGAGCAUGUGGUUUAAUUCGAAGAUACGCGCAGAACCUUACCAACACUUGACAUGUUCGUCGCGACUUUAAGAGGUUAAAGUUUUCGGUUCGGCCGGACGAAACACAGGUGCUGCAUGGCUGUCGUCAGCUCGUGUCGUGAGAUGUUGGGUUAAGUCCCGCAACGAGCGCAACCCUCACUUUUAGUUGCCAUCAUUUAGUUGGGCACUCUGAAAGAACUGCCAGUGAUAAGCUGGAGGAAGGUGGGGAUGACGUCAAGUCCUCAUGGCCCUUACGUGUUGGGCUACACACGUGCUACAAUGGUAUCUACAACAGGAAGCAAAACGGCGACGUUAAGCAAAUCCUUAAAAGAUACCUCAGUUCGGAUUGCACUCUGCAACUCGAGUGCAUGAAGCUGGAAUUACUAGUAAUCGUGGAUCAGCGUGCCACGGUGAAUGCGUUCCCGGGUCUUGUACACACCGCC